GGUUUUGCUUCUUUUUCUCCACAAUGUGAAUAAUUAUCCACAAGUCACAGAGUAAACUGUUUGAGUGAAUGUUUUAUGGUUCCUGCUUCUUUUAUCACUUUGACUGUUUAAAUUAAUUUACAUUUUUCUGCAUUUAAUAUGGCAAAUACCC